GAUCUUGGUCAGAACGAACGCUGGCGGCGCGUCUUAAGCAUGCAAGUCGAACGGCAAGAGGUAGCAAUACCUCCUAGAGUGGCGGACUGGUGAGUAACACGUGGGUGACAUACCCUUCAGAUGGGGAUAGCUAUUAGAAAUAGUAGAUAAUACCGAAUACGAGCGCAGGGGUUAGAGAUCUGUGAGGAAAGGAGCUAAGGCUCCGCUGAAGGAAUGGCCUGCGGCCCAUUAGCUAGUUGGUGAGGUAAGAGCCCACCAAGGCGAUGAUGGGUAUCCGGCCUUAGAGGGUGAACGGACACAUUGGGACUGAGAUACGGCCCAGACUCCUACGGGAGGCAGCAGCUAAGAAUAUUCCGCAAUGGACGAAAGUCUGACGGAGCGACGCCGCCGUGGAUGAAGAAGGCCGGAAGGUUGUAAAAUCCUUUUGAAACUGAAGAAUAAGCGUUGUAGGGAAUGACAGCGUGGUGACAGUAGGUUUUGAAUAAGCAACGGCUAAUUACGUGCCAGCCGCCGC
rnacentral:rRNA from 1 species